ensembl:misc_RNA Y_RNA Y RNA
UGCUGGUCCAAGUGUGGUAGUGUUUACAAUAUUGAUAGCAACCAGUUACAGAAUUCUUUGUUCUGUCUUCACUCCCAUCGCUUCAUCUGACUAACAAAAA